AAAGAUAUAGCAUAUUCUUCUGAAUAUACUUUAUUAACCCAUUCCGAGUACCAUUACCCGUUGCUUCCGCGAGGCUGUCCUCACGGCCCCUCUGAAGAUUUAUCUUUGGGGAGUCCUUGCGGAAGGUAUACAAUAAACUCUCUGCAAUUACCAUGUCAUCUGGUCUGAAUCUGUUUAAAACAAAUAUUA
rnacentral:misc_RNA from 1 species